ensembl:snRNA U2 U2 spliceosomal RNA
AUCACUUCUUGGCCUUUUGGCUAAGAUUAAGUGUAGUAUCUGUUCUUACCAUUUUAAUAACUGAUAUAGCCCCUAUCUUAGGACAGUAUAGUAAAUGGGUUUUUGGAGCUGGGAGAUGGAAUAGGAGUUUGCUCCAUAUACUCCACGCAUCGACCUGGUAUUCCAGUACCUCCAGGAAUGGUACACCAAAA